GACGAACGCUGGCGGCGUGCUUAACACAUGCAAGUCGAACGAAGUGGCGAACGGGUGAGUAACGCGUAAUCAACCUGCCCUUCAGAGGGGGACAACAGUUGGAAACGACUGCUAAUACCGCAUACUGAAGGAGGGGAUUGCGUCUGAGUAGCUGGUUGAAGGGGUAACGGCCCACCAAGGCGAUGAGCGGUAGCCGGGCUGGGAGGAUGAACGGACACAUUGGAACUGAGACACGGGCCAGAUGCCUACGGGAGGCAGCAGUGGGGAAUCUGACGCAAUGGACGAAAGUCUGACGGAGCAGCGCGGCGUUAGUGAUGACGGCCUGCGGGUUGUAAAGCUCUGUUAAUCGGUACGCGGUACCGGAAUAGAAAGCCACGGCUAACUACGUGCCAGCCGCCGCGGUAAUUC
rnacentral:rRNA from 1 species